rnacentral:rRNA from 1 species
GAUGAACGCUGGCGGCGUGCUUAAUACAUGCAAGUCGAACGGACAGGCCCUGCUUUUGUGGGUUUCUUGAUUGGCGAACGCGUGUGUAUCACGUGUGUAACCCGCCCCUGUCUUUGUGGUAUCUCCUGGAAAAUGGGGCGCUUACCGCAUAUAAGCUUUUGCUGCACGGGGUGCGAUGGUGAAAUUCGGCGGUUCGGGAUGGACUCGAGGCAUAUCAGCUUGAUUGUGUGGUAGUUGAUUUCCAAGGCUUCGACGGCUAGCCGGCCUGAGAGCGUGACCGGCGACAUGGGUACUGCGAUACGGACCAGACGCGUACGGGACGCAGCAGUGGGGAGUAUUGCACAGUGACCGGAAGCCUGAUGCGGCAACGCCGCGUGCGGGAUGACGUCCUUCGAGUUGAAAACAGCUGUCGCCUGUGCCGAGGCGUGAGUGACGGUAAUGAGUAAAGAAGCACCGGCUAACUACGUG